rnacentral:rRNA from 1 species
GACGAACGCUGGCGGCGUGCCUAAUACAUGCAAGUUGAGCGCUGAAGGUUGGUACUUGUACCAACUGGAUGAGCAGCGAACGGGUGAGUAACGCGUGGGGAAUCUGCCUUUGAGCGGGGGACAACAUUUGGAAACGAAUGCUAAUACCGCAUAAAAACUUUAAACACAAGUUUUAAGUUUGAAAGAUGCAAUUGCAUCACUCAAAGAUGAUCCCGCGUUGUAUUAGCUAGUUGGUGAGGUAAAGGCUCACCAAGGCGAUGAUACAUAGCCGACCUGAGAGGGUGAUCGGCCACAUGGGGACUGAGACACGGCCCAAACUCCUACGGGAGGCAGCAGUAGGGAAUCUUCGGCAAAGGACGAAAGUCUGACCGAGCAACGCCGCGUGAGUGAAGAAGGUUUUCGGAUCGUAAAACUCUGUUGGUAGAGAAGAACGUUGGUGAGAGUGGAAAGCUCAUCAAGGGACGGUAACUACCCAGAAAGGGACGGCUAACUACGU